rnacentral:rRNA from 1 species
GAUGAACGCUGGCGGCGUGCCUAAUACAUGCAAGUCGAGCGAACGGACAAGAAGCUUGCUUCUCUGAUGUUAGCGGCGGACGGGUGAGUAACACGUGGAUAACCUACCUAUAAGACUGGGAUAACUUCGGGAAACCGUAGCUAAUACCGGAUAAUAUUUUGAACCGCAUGGUUCAAAAGUGAAAGACGGUCUUGCUGUCACUUAUAGAUGGAUCCGCGCUGCAUUAGCUAGUUGGUAAGGUAACGGCUUACCAAGGCAACGAUGCAUAGCCGACCUGAGAGGGUGAUCGGCCACACUGGAACUGAGACACGGUCCAGACUCCUACGGGAGGCAGCAGUAGGGAAUCUUCCGCAAUGGGCGAAAGCCUGACGGAGCAACGCCGCGUGAGUGAUGAAGGUCUUCGGAUCGUAAAACUCUGUUAUUAGGGAAGAACAUAUGUGUAAGUAACUGUGCACAUCUUGACGGUACCUAAUCAGAAAGCCACGGCUAACUACGUG